AUGCUCAUGCCCUCUUUCACUCUGCCAAAGACCACAUGCUUGCCAUCCAACCAUUCAGUCUUGGCAGUGCAGAUGAAGAACUGGGAGCCGCUUGUGUUGGGCCCAGCGUUUGACAUGGACUUGGUUAACCCCAAUUUUCCAAUUUUAGUCCUUCCAGACUUCUGUACCGACAGUUUAACCAUUCACCACUGUGUAAAAGACCAUGUGUACCCUUAUUUGGACCACUGCUCUACACAUGUGAAUCUGAAUCUUCAGAUGAAUUGGCUGAUGCUUUGCCCACUGGGAAGAUUUUUCUUACCACUCUCUGUCGGGGCAAUUCCUGAGUAGGGAAUAUAGUAAAACGGCAGUUCAUUUUCUAUUUGCAUCCAUAUACUAAGCCACUCUAUUUAAACAUCUGUUCCUACAUCAACUGGGAAGAGAAGACCUCUCUCAUGAAGCUGAGGGAGAGUUGUGACUGCAACUUUCUAGCAUUUACUAGAUCAUCAGGCCAGUAAAAAAUUCAGUGAAGUAGCAAGUUGCUUAAACAUUAUAGGGUUUGUCUCCCACCUCCUGAAGUAUAUGUCUUGGCAAGGCAUCCAGAGUACUUGUCAUUUCUUGCCCAUGAAGUUCAAUUCACUUGUUGUCAAAUAUCUAGUAUACCAAUGUACUUUUUGUGAUAUGUGCAUAUGAUUUAGGUCCCUUUAAACCAGUGUGACAGAGAGCAGGAGAAUUAAUAUAACACUGAGGAAAGACCAUCAAAAUAUACUGUUAUCUAUACAAUGAGUGCUUAUUGUAUCUGAAUCACCUUGUUAACAAGAAUGGGGAAAAACUCAUUCUAGGUCCCAGAGGCUUUGUUAAUCUACCCUAUAGGAAGAUAUCAUAACUGGCACAGAAGAAACCUCUGGAGCUGCUAGUUAGUUAAGUUUGAUUCACUCUGCUAUCCACUGCCAUGAUCCAUCUAGUUUUUACAGCAACCACAUGAGUAAAUUAUAUGGUGUAUAACAAGACUCUCCUAUUCUAAUAGCUCUUUAAGUUUAAUGAACCAAUGUGAGGCAUCUCUCAAUUGCUAAGUAUAUCCA
rnacentral:lncRNA from 1 species